UACGUAGGGUGCAGGCGUUAAUCGGAAUUACUGGGCGUAAAGCGUGCGCAGGCGGUUUUGUAAGUCUGACGUGAAAUCCCCGGGCUCAACCUGGGAAUUGCGUUGGAGACUGCAAGGCUGGAGUCUGGCAGAGGGGGGUAGAAUUCCACGUGUAGCAGUGAAAUGCGUAGAGAUGUGGAGGAACACCGAUGGCGAAGGCAGCCCCCUGGAUCAAGACUGACGCUCAUGCACGAAAGCGUGGGGAGCAAACAGG
rnacentral:rRNA from 1 species